UUUGCAACAUAUGUUGUCUUUAUCAAAGUCGGUUUGGAACAAUCACGGUUCACUUACUUCGUGAAGGGCAACCAGCAUGGCGGUGCAGUGAUCCUGCCAAGGCUUGAAUCGAGGCUAUCACCGCUGCUCGCGCUCCGAAAGCUUUGAAUUUCUCGAUCAAUUCCACGUGUUUCCCUGGUACGCAUCAACCUGUUAGCAUUUAUGUGCAUCCGCCAGGUACCAGGCAACCUUCGGCCAUGUUAAAUUUUUCGCGUGAGGAGUUUCCGACGACACGAUUGGUCUUCGAAUUUGGGAGAACAUUUUACCGUGCGUAGAUACUUUUAAGAGUCUUCAAAUUAUAGUAGUUUGACGAAUGAAUGGUCCGCCAACUUGCUUACUGCACUGCAAGAAGUCUUGAUAAAUGACUCUGCUUCUGUGUUUAUCUUGCCAUGUCCAAACCCCACCCACAAAAAGGUAGGGGAAAAUGGCUAUUCAAUUGUGUACUCUUGAUUUAUACCACAAGCAAACUGACUGAUGGUAAGCUUACAGUGACUUUUUAGUAGUAACCAUUUGCUUGAGUAUAUGGACCUGCAAUUUGUUGAGUUGCCUCUCACCUGUGAAACGCUGGAGCUAGUCAUUGCACUGCAGCCACAGUUGAGACAAGACUUUCCCUUACUCCCCCUGGUGAUUCGUGACUGGCUCAUCACCGUACAUUCCCUCCCCAUACCUCCACCCUCCUUCCCAUCCUCCUUCCCCACCCUCCUUCCCCACCCUCCAUCCCGUCCGUCAUCCCCUUUCUAUCAUCAUUUGCACGCACUGGUCCAUUUCUGUCUCUCUUUCCUCUCUACACCUACUCUUUUCUUUUGUCACUUGCACGCACCGUUUCAUUUCUAUCUUCCUUUUCUCUUUCCUCUGUUUUCCUCCCUUCCCUCUCCAUCUCUCGCACGCACCUUCUAAUUUCUGCCCCUCCCCUUUUUCCUCUCUUUACUAACAUGGGAUCAUGACAGCUACCUUCCCGGUGGUGAUCCUGUUAAGGGAAGCUUUCCUGCUAAAGGGAAAUUUCCUGAACUAAAGCUGUCAAAUAGGGGAUGUUAGUACACUGGAUCAUUUUGAACAAUGAUUAACUUUAAAAGUCUUUAUGAUGGAGAUCAUGAUGAUAAUUUCAUGUUUUCAAAAGGCAAAAGAAAGUUGCCAAAUUUGAAAUACACUUGAAAAGCAUUCGGCUUGCUCCUGUACACUCUGCCGUACACUGUUUGCAUGUGCCCUCUAUCUAGCAAGGUCGAUCCAGUACGGUCCACCAGCCCUGUGAGAAGAAAUUGUUUUGCACUGCAAAAAGCUUGCAAAAUAAUCAUUGCUUGUAAGGAUUUUGACUUCAGAGACAGAGGCCUCAUUGCCGACCAACGACUUGGCAAGGAUUCAUGGCGGGCUAGGACCACAGCGGAGUGCUUGAAGAUGACAAGCCUGGUGAGAGUGAGACGGCUGUUUUGAAAAUCAACCGCAAUGACCGCACAUCCAUGACUACCACGUUCACUGCGCUCAAGUUUUACAUGCACGGGAAACCAGUGAACUGAGAUUUGACUGGUCUUUACUUUCAAAACCCAAACUUAGUUGCUCCAUGAGUUGCUUGCGGUUCACUCUGUCUUGAACUUGAAUUGCAAAGAUGAUGUUGAUGUACAUGUACCUUGUUGGAGUGUAGCCCUUUGGACUAUUUGGGAGGCCGCUGCUUGAACUUCUAGUAGCAGUCUGCAGUACUUCUACUUCUACUCUGGUACUCAGUCGAAUCCACAAGACUGGAUGUAACGCUGAGGGACAUCUUGACCAUGAGCGGUGCAGGAGGUGCAUACAACCUGCAACUUAAAGCUUCAGCAGUUCAUGUGAACAACGCCAUAACUUCCUUGGGGGAGGCUGUAUCUGGACAGAUGCUGUCUACAUAGAUGGUACCUAUUGAUCUUCUGCCAUGGGAACCAAGGUGUAGACAGGCAGUUCAGGAUGUCUGUGAGGGAUAAGGCACCAUCCUGAGGUCUUAUCUGGCUUCUCUCAGGACGAUUGAGAGUUCCAAACUGAAGAGACUGAUCUUUGCAAACCAUGCCGAGGCUGGAUUGGACCAGACCAGUGCCUAGACUAGGCAGGACAGGCUGGAUGACCAUCACCAUGGUGACUGGGAUGACCUUAAGGGUGAGUCAAACCAAGAAUACAACCUGCUCCAUCAAAACUCAUCACAAUGUGCACCAAACAACCUCCUUUGUAAAUGACCAUAAUUCUCUCACUUGAUUCUUGUGAAUUGGAGUUUUGUCCUCAACAGUCCGACUGGGAGAACUUUGACAUAAACCUGUCGGCAUCCUGGACGAUACAUUGUAAUUUGAAGAAGAAAGAGAAAUGAAAAUAAUUUCUCAACAAUGAUCAUGACAGUCAUUUCUGAAACACAGAGGAAUUAAAAGUUCCCCUUAUUAAAUGCUUACUGUGUGAUUUGAUAUACAUAAAUGUUAUCAAACCAGAAUUUUAUUUGUGUGAACCGUCAAAGAGAAAUGCUAUUUUAAGAUUGAAUUAUUUGCAUUAAGUGUCCAGUGACUUUCAUGGUGGUUUGCAAGCAGAUAAAACUGUCACAUUAAUAUUAAAUUUAAGGCUUCUUUUGUUGCAAACCUCUUACAGUAUGGUGCAAAUGUUCAUAAUUUGAUGGGGCAGGUUUUAUAUUUCAUAUGAGUGAUUUAAGGGAAAAGUUACUAUGAAUAGAAGUAUUUUUCUCCAAACUAUUUAAAGGCAUAUAGGAUCAUUUGCAUUUGUCCCCAAAUUAGCCUCCCACAUUAUCAUAAAAUACUUACUUGGACUAAUUAACGAUAGUAAUGAUACUAAACACCCCAUAAAAUUAUCGUGUCUGACAUGCUGUCAUUUCAAAAAUAUCAAGAAAUGUAGGUGAUUUCCAACAAGCAGUUAUUUGCAUGUUUUUUUUGGAAUAAAAAGUGCUGACGAAACACAAUCAAAAAGUCGUGCUUGGUUUUUCACUGUUUUCUUACAAAGUGUACUAUUCACUGAACUGAAACUUCAACAAAUUAGGUU
rnacentral:lncRNA from 1 species